GUACUCACUUCAGCAGCACAUACACUAAAAUUGGAACAAGACAGAGAAGAUUAGCAUGGCCUCUGUGCAAGGAUGAUAUGCAAAUUCAUGAAAUAUUCCUAUUUUUU